CAGUGAAACAGUAAAAGGCAUUUCCAGAAGCCCCUGUUUGACAUCAAUUAAAUCAUUCACCUGCUUUAACCCAUAAAAAAAUGCCUGUAACCAAAGUGAAUAUCAAAACUUUAUACAGAGUCUUUUUACUUUUCCAAUUUUGAGUUAUUAAGCUACUUCUGCAAAUUUAAUCCUCUCGGAGAUGUAGUCAAAACUCUCAGGUUCUGUUUUUUCCCCUACUAUUCGGUAUUCACCAUGAGAUAAACUUAUACCAGCAGCACGUCCAGCUUACUUUCUGUUCUGGGUUUCACUGAUUUUCUUUCUUCUCAGGUUUUUGCUGUGAGCGUGUGAAGAACUGAACGCUGGAGUAAUUACACUCUGCUGGCUUGCUGAAUUUCACAGGCUUUCAGGAACAAACCACUCAAACACAAAUCCACAGAAGUUCUUCCUGAACUCGCCAGACAAUUGUGCUGCUGAAGGUCUCAGCGGCCCUGAAAGAAGCCUGCUGUCUACGGAGAGUUGAGGAUAUUGUCAGCGCUGAGCCAGGAGAGCUGCGUCUGAGUUUGUCAUGAGGAUCUUUAGAGAGUCUUCUGGCGUUGUUACAGAUGAGAGCUGCCAUGUGUGCUAAAAUCGUUAAAGAAUCAGUGUUUGCUCACUGUUACUCUCUAGGGGCCCUAAUAGGGGAACUAGAGCACAAUGACUGAGAUUCAGGGCUCAGUGGGCUCUAGUACAUCAUCUCUCAACUGCAAUGCAGCAGAUCCAGACCUGCCUGAUGUACCGACCGCUGUGACUGACUCAAGACAUCCCCAAAAUCCCAUUACCCUCAUCCGUCUUCUGCUUCUGCAACAGCCUGCUGGUGAUCACACAGGUCUUCAAAGAUGCAAGCAUUUGGUGAAACAAAACAGCUGCUUAUUUAAAUGUUUUAAAGGAGUAGUUUGCCCCAAAAAUUUACAUGUCAAUCCAAACCCGUGUGAUUUUCUUUCUUUCAUGAAAAUAAGUGCAGUGAUGGUGUAUAAUAGCUUUGUGUGAUGAGUAAACUUGUUUUGACUGAUAAUCUUUCCCCUUCAUCGAAGCUCUGAAAUGGACUACAAAAAAAUGGCACGAAGACAUCAUUUGAUGUUCAUUUGACUGAUUCAAAAUACCUUUGCUUCUCUCUUGUCCCAUAAGCAAAUGUAAUUUCAAACCUGAUGCAGCACAUCGAAAAACACUUCAUAUUUGUUUUAGCUACAGAUUUUCAGUAUACAAUGUCUUAUAUAUAUAGUAUUUAUGCCUACGCACACAAAUUGUUCAAAAGGUUGGGGUUGGUAAGAUUUUUUUAAAAGCUUUCGAUAGACGUCUCUUAUCCUCACAAAGGCUGCAUUUAUUUAAAGAAAAACGCAGUAAAAACAGUAAUAUUGUGAAAAAUUAUUAUAAUUCAAAAUAUUCUAUUUACUAAUUUAAUAUAUUUUAAAAUACAGUUUAUUUCUGUGAUUCAAAACUGAAUUUUUUAGCAUCAUUACUUCAGUCUUCAGUGUCACAUGAUCUUCAGAAAUCAUUCUAAUAUGCUAAUUUGCUGCUCAAGAAACAUUUCUGAUUAUUAUCAAUGUUGGAAACAGUUGUGCUGCUUUAUAUUUUUCUGUGAACUGUGAUCAGUUUUAUUUUCAGGAUUCUUUGAUAAAUAGAAAGUUCAAAAGAACAUCUUUUAUUUGAGAGAAAAUUUUUAUAAAUGUCACUUUUGGACAAUUUAAUGUAUCCUUUCUGAAUAAAAGUAAUGCAUUCUUUCA
ensembl:lncRNA